rnacentral:snRNA from 1 species
UUACUUACCUGGCAGGGGAGAUACCAUGAUCACGAAGGUGGUUUUCCCAGGGCAAGGCUUAUCCAUUGCACUCCGGAUGUGCUGACCCCUGUGAUUUCCCCAAAUGUGGGAAACUCGACUGCAUAAUUUGUGGUAGUGGGGGACUGCGUUCGCGCUUUCCCCUG